UAGGGAAUCUUCGGCAAUGGACGAAAGUCUGACCGAGCAACGCCGCGUGAGUGAAGAAGGUUUUCGGAUCGUAAAACUCUGUUGUUAGAGAAGAACAAGGACGUUAGUAACUGAACGUCCCCUGACGGUAUCUAACCAGAAAGCCACGGCUAACUACGUGCCAGCAGCCGCGGUAAUACGUAGGUGGCAAGCGUUGUCCGGAUUUAUUGGGCGUAAAGCGAGCGCAGGCGGUUUCUUAAGUCUGAUGUGAAAGCCCCCGGCUCAACCGGGGAGGGUCAUUUGAAACUUGGAGACUUGAGUGCAGAAGAGGAGAGUGGAAUUCCAUGUGGAGCGGUGAAAUGCGUAGAUAUAUGGAGGAACACCAGUGGCGAAGGCGGCUCUCUGGUCUGUAACUGACGCUGAGGCUCGAAAGCGUGGGGAGCAAACAGG
rnacentral:rRNA from 1 species